rnacentral:misc_RNA from 1 species
AAAAAACUCAAAACAGAUCGAGAGAGAAUUUUCAAGAAAGAUGGCAAUUAUUAGAAUGAUCCUUACAUGGAUGAUUUUAUGUAUUUUGAUCUUGCAGAUCGUUGAAGUUACUCAGGCAUUACCUGGCUGCGAUGAACGGUGCUUUAAGAGAUGCAAAGAGAAGAAUACACACCCACUUAUCUGCAAGUUCUUUUGCCCACCCUGGUGCGCAACCCACCUUGAUCAGUAAGGUACAUAUACCCUAUCAUCAGGGCUUUUAUCUAUUUUCAGGAGGACCUGGAUGCCAUUGCCAGCCACAUUUACAGAAGAAUCCCAUGGUCCCUGAAGGGCAGAAGGGUGGCAGCCAAU